rnacentral:rRNA from 1 species
UACGGAGGGGGCGAGCGUUGUUCGGAAUCAUUGGGCGUAAAGGGCGCGUAGGCGGCGUCGUAAGUCAUAUGUGAAAGCCCUUGGCUUAACCAAGGAAUUGCAUCUGAAACUGCGGCGCUUGAAUCCGGGAGGGGAGAGUGGAAUUCCCAGUGUAGCGGUGAAAUGCGUAGAUAUUGGGAGGAACACCGGCGGCGAAGGCGGCUCUCUGGACCGGUAUUGACGCUGAGGCGCGAAAGCUAGGGGAGCAAACGGGAUUAGAUACCCCGGUAGUCCUAGCUGUAAACGAUGGGCACUUGGUGUGGCGGGUGUCGACCCCUGCCGUGCCGAAGCAAACGCAUUAAGUGCCCCGCCUGGGGAGUACGGUCGCAAGGCUGAA